AACAACGUUUUUCAUUUCCGCUCCCUGAAAUAAAUAAGUUGUUGUCUAUGACCCCUGUUCUUUCCUUGAGCAAUUAUUUAAAAAAAUAAAAAAGAAGCAUAAUAACAUAAUAUCUCAGAUUAAUUUCCUUUGAAAGCCUGGGAAAACGCUUGGGCUUCUUCUGGAUGAUCUGGACAUGCUACAACCCCAAAAUAUGUAUUACCGCCACCAACUGGACGACGUUGAAGAAAACAAGCAAAUGGCACAAUCAAUAUCAACUGUCCCAGGAUGCACCACCACUAGCAGAGGGCCAGGAAAACCACCAAGCUGCCUGCAAGGCUGAAUAAUGUAAGCAAAUGGCACAAUCAAUAUCAACUGUCCCAGGAUGCACCACCACUAGCAGAGGGCCAGGAAAACCACCAAGCUGCCUGCAAGGCUGAAUAAUCCUAUCGGAUUUCCUGUUAUCAACCUAUUGCCUGAUCUCCCGGAUGACGUUACAAGCCUUUUCCAUGCCUGUACUAUUGCCUUUUUGGACCCCCUGUGUAUGACCUUCUGCCUGCCCCUGGACCCAGCUACCUGCCUCCUCAUGUGGUCCUUUACCAAUAAACACCUGCUGCGCCCUGCGCUUGAAACCAGCUCUCUGUCUCCCUUUGUGUUCAUUACACUCCCGAGUAGCACAGCAGUCUAAGACACUGCAUCGCAGUACAAACUGCGUUGCUACAGAUGCUGUCUCGAGUCCCGUGCUUGCCACAACCAGGAGACCCAUGAGGCGAUGCACAAUU